GACGAACGCUGGCGGCGUGCUUAACACAUGCAAGUCGAACGGAAAGGCCCUGCUUUUGGGGUGUGCUCGAGUGGCGAACGGGUGAGUAACACGUGAGUAACCUGCCCUCGACUGUGGGAGAACUUCAGGAAACUGCGGCUACUACCGGAUAGGAACUCCUGCUGCAUGGUGGGGGGGGGAAAGUUUCGGCGGGUGGGGAUGGACUCGCGGCUGAUCAGCUUGUUGGUGGGGUAGUGGCGUACGAAGGCUUUGACGGAUAGCCGGCCUGUGAGGGUGACCGGCCACAUUGGGCCUGAGGUACGGCGCAGACUCCUACGGUGGGCAGUAGUGGGGAAUAUUGCGCAGUGGGCGGAAGCGUGUGGCAGCAACGCUGCGUGUGGGAUGACGGCCUUCGGGUUGUGAACCGCUUUCGCCUGUGACGAAGCGUGAGUGACGGUAAUGGGUAAAGAAGCACCGGCUAACUACGUG
rnacentral:rRNA from 1 species